ACACCACCAUGAAAGGGGUAAGGUUGGCUGGGGGAGGUUUUAGGGUGGAGAGAAAGAAGCAAGGCCCCACCUCCACCCUCAUCUUGUCUCCAGCUCAAGUGCUGUGGCUUCACCAACUAUACGGAUUUUGAGGACUCACCCUACUUCAAAGAGAACAGUGCCUUUCCCCCAUUCUGUUGCAAUGACAACGUCACCAACACAGCCAAUGAAACCUGCACCAAGCAAAAGGCUCACGACCAAAAAGUAGAGGGUUGCUUCAAUCAGCUUUUGUAUGACAUCCGAACUAAUGCAGUCACCGUGGGUGGUGUGGCAGCUGGAAUUGGGGGCCUCGAGCUGGCUGCCAUGAUUGUGUCCAUGUAUCUGUACUGCAAUCUACAAUAAGUCCACUUCUGCCUCUGCCACUACUGCUGCCACAUGGGAACUGUGAAGAGGCACCCUGGCAAGAAGCAGUGAUUGGGGGAGGGGACAGGAUCUAACAAUGUCACUUGGGCCAGAAUGGACCUGCCCUUUCUGCUCCAGACUUGGGGCUAGAUAGGGACCACUCCUUUUAGGCGAUGCCUGACUUUCCUUCCAUUGGUGGGUGGAUGGGU
rnacentral:sRNA from 1 species